UACAGAGGUGCCAAGCGUUAGGCGGAAUCACCGGGCUUAAAGCGCGUGUAGGCGGGUCGUUAAGUGUCCGAGUGAAAUCCCACGGCUCAACCGUGGAACUGCCGGGCAUACUGGCGAUCUUGAGGCAUUCAGGGGCGAGCGGAACAAAUGGUGGAGCGGUGAAAUGCGUAGAUAUCAUUUGGAACGCCAAUGGUGAAAACAGCUCGCUGGGAAUGAUCUGACGCUGAGACGCGAAAGCCAGGGGAGCGAACGGG
rnacentral:rRNA from 1 species